rnacentral:lncRNA from 1 species
CUUGGACCUUUUAAACACAAAUUUUAAACUCAACCAACCUGUGAUAAUUGGAAUGGUUAUUGUUUAUUUUGUGGUAUGUUUUUUGAUUACAGAAAACAAUGCCUUGUUUUCCAGUUGUCUUUGAGAAUGAAAGGGAAAAAAAAACUUCAGAUGAAAUGGUUUUGUGUAGCCUCUUGUCUAACAUGUUUUGUAAAUACUGGAGAAGCUUGACCAAUUUGACUUAGAGAUGGAAUGGAAUAUAACUUUGCUUACAAAAAUUGCUAUUUAUCUCCUGUUAAAGGUGUUUUGUUUUGAUCAGGUG